AGCCUCAUGAUAAAUGAUAUGAGGUACUUCCUGCCCGGUGACAUAUAAACGGCCGCAGUAUCCUAACUGUGCAAAGGUAGCAUAAUAACUUGCCUUUUAAUUGGAGGCUGGUAUGAAUGGAGCUACGUAAAUAAAGCUGUCUCUGUUAUACAAACAAAAACUAGCCCUUAAGUGAAAAUUCUUAAAUUAAAAUAAAGGACAAAAAGACCCUAUAGAGCUGUAUUCGUAAUAACAUCCAAAGCACUACACACUUUCUAUAUUAAAAACGAAUUUUGCUGGGGCGGCAAAGGAAUAUUUAAAUCUUCCUUAAAUUUAAAGACACCGAAUCUUAAAAAUGAUCCUAAAAAGAUCACAGAAAAAAGCUACCUUAGGGAUAACAGACUAAUCUUCCUAAAGAGUUCAAAUUGACAGGAAGGAUUGGCACCUCGAUGUUGGCUUAAGAUACCCUUUGAGUGCAGAAGCCCAAAAAGGUUGGUUUGUUCAACCAUUAAAAUCUU
rnacentral:rRNA from 1 species